rnacentral:ncRNA from 1 species
GAUAACAGGCUUAUCUCCCCCAAGAGUCCACAUCGACUGAGAGGUUUAGCACCUCGAUGUCGGCUCAUCGCAUCCUGGGGCUGAAGUAGGUCCCAAGGGUUGGGCUGUUCGCCCAUUAAAGCGGUACGCGAGCUGGGUUCAGAACGUCGUGAGACAGUUC